rnacentral:rRNA from 1 species
ACACCGGCAGCUCUAGUGGUAGCUGUUUUUAUUGGGCCUAAAGCGUUCGUAGCCGGUUUGAUAAGUCACUGGUGAAAUCCUGUAGCUUAACUGUGGGAAUUGCUGGUGAUACUGUUGAACUUGAGGUCGGGAGAGGUUAGCGGUACUCCCAGGGUAGAGGUGAAAUUCUGUAAUCCUGGGAGGACCACCUGUGGCGAAGGCGGCUAACUGGAACGAACCUGACGGUGAGGGACGAAAGCUAGGGGCGCGAACCGGAUUAGAUACCCGGGUAGUCCUAGCCGUAAACGAUGCGGACUUGGUGUUGGGAUGGCUUUGAGCCGCUCCGGUGCCGAAGGGAAGCUGUUAAGUCCGCCGCCUGGGAAGUACGGUCGCAAGACUGAAACUUAAAUGAAUUGGCGGGG